ACACCGCUGGUGUAGGGGUAACAUAUUACCUUCCCAAGGUAAUGCCGUGGGUUCGAUUCCCGCGCGGUGUA
rnacentral:tRNA from 1 species